rnacentral:lncRNA from 1 species
UCCAGUCAGAAAUUGAUUACACAAUACAGAUCUGAUUUUUAAAUUUGGUACUCACAGAUAGAGAAAAAAAUUCCUUUCCAGCAAUAUCCCGUUUAUGACAAUGCACAAUAAAAUUUGGAAGUUAUGGAUGCUGUUUGGACGAUUGCUCUGGAAUACUAGUACAGAGAAAAGCCAUUUUAAGUUAUUUUCAAUGUUUCCGUGUCAUGCCCGUUCAUGUAGUAAAUGAAACCACGCCUACCAGGAAAAACCACACCCAAAUCAAUUAAUAAACGGGGAAUGAAGAAAGAAGCACUUUUGACUUGCUUUUCACAGCAUUUGAACUAUCAUUUCUUGUAUAAUGGACAUCGUAAGAGUUGUCUAAAGCCCUGCCAUUCAUGGUGGCUUCAAAUACUAUGCUAAAAGUCCUGAUUAUGGACUGUUUUGAACACGGAUCAUCCCCAUACUUCAUUCAAAUCCAACCAUCGCUUUUCCUUGAGUUUACAGGGCCUCCUCUUCCUCUUUGGCCUCUUCCUUGGCCACCUCCCUCUCUUCCUCGGCCACCUCCCCCGCUUCCAUGGCCACCUCCCCCUCUUCCUUGGCCAGCUGCCCCUCUUUUUUGUCCAUCUCCUCCUCCUUGGCCACCUCCUCUUCCUGCUCCUCUCCCGCCACCUCGUCAAUGCUUCCAUUUAACCCUAUGAUGUCUCCUUUUCUUCUAACAACAAAAAGAGAUUAAGAUACUACUAACACAUGAAGGAAUAGUACUGUAUGUUCAUGUAGUAUCAUUAUUCUUGAAAGUAAUAUGAAAUUAACAAGUUAACUAAAGACAAAGUUACUCACUAAGGGAUAGCAUUUUACAGGCAAGAAUAAUUACAUUGUUAAUAAUAAUAAAUGUACCUCAGACUGAUGCUCAAUCUCACCUCCAGCAUUCCUUAAAAUUGCAGUGCUGUUCUUUUUGCACGUCCAGCAUAAGUUCGUCAUUGGCUUGAUGCUGUAAAUGUGGGGAACAUACUUUCUCCAUAUUCUUUUAAAGGAACUUUCACAGAGAGUAUGUUCCCUACCAGCAUCAGCAUACUGCCGGUAAACCAUGCCUCGGGACACACUGGACAGCAAUAGCUUGGCCUUCCCAUAAUCCCUCACUCCAG